AGAAGGGAGCUUGCUCCCGGAUGUUAGCGGCGGACGGGUGAGUAACACGUGGGUAACCUGCCUGUAAGACUGGGAUAACUCCGGGAAACCGGAGCUAAUACCGGAUAGUUCCUUGAACCGCAUGGUUCAAGGAUGAAAGACGGUUUCGGCUGUCACUUACAGAUGGACCCGCGGCGCAUUAGCUAGUUGGUGAGGUAACGGCUCACCAAGGCGACGAUGCGUAGCCGACCUGAGAGGGUGAUCGGCCACACUGGGACUGAGACACGGCCCAGACUCCUACGGGAGGCAGCAGUAGGGAAUCUUCCGCAAUGGACGAAAGUCUGACGGAGCAACGCCGCGUGAGUGAUGAAGGUUUUCGGAUCGUAAAGCUCUGUUGUUAGGGAAGAACAAGUGCAAGAGUAACUGCUUGCACCUUGACGGUACCUAACCAGAAAGCCACGGCUAACUACGUGCCAGCAGCCGCGGUAAUACGUAGGUGGCAAGCGUUGUCCGGAAUUAUUGGGCGUAAAGGGCUCGCAGGCGGUUUCUUAAGUCUGAUGUGAAAGCCCCCGGCUCAACCGGGGAGGGUCAUUGGAAACUGGGAAACUUGAGUGCAGAAGAGGAGAGUGGAAUUCCACGUGUAGCGGUGAAAUGCGUAGAGAUGUGGAGGAACACCAGUGGCGAAGGCGACUCUCUGGUC
rnacentral:rRNA from 1 species